rnacentral:pre_miRNA from 1 species
UGUUAAAAAAAUUCAUUCAUUUCUAAUACUAAAAACCAACUUGACUAACAGAAUAACCAAAUAGUGACACAUUAUGUGCCAUGUGUAUCUCAUAAAAAUGUAAAGAGAUUAAUUUUUAAUGGUAAAAAUAGAUGAAAUUUUUAAUA